CCUAAGGUAGCGAAAUUCCUUGUCGGGUAAGUUCCGACCCGCACGAAAGGCGUAAUGAUUUGAGCACUGUCUCGACAAUGCAUCCGGUGAAAUUGAAGUACCAGUGAAGAUGCUGGUUACCUGCGCCAGGACGGAAAGACCCCAUGGAGCUUUACUCCAGCUUGAUACUGGGAUUCGAUACUGUAUGUACAGGAUAGGUGGGAGACGUUGAGCAUAGAACGCCAGUUUUAUGUGAGUCGCUGUUGGGAUACCACCCUUGCAGUAUUGGAUUUCUAACCUGCACCCAUGACCUGGGUGGGGGACAAUGUCUGGCGGGGAGUUUGACUGGGGCGGUCGCCUCCGAAAGGGUAUCGGAGGCGCUCAAAGGUUCCCUCAGAAUGGUUGGAAACCAUUCGAAGAGUGCAAAGGCAGAAGGGAGCUUGACUGCGACACCGACGGGUGGAGCAGGUACGAAAGUAGGACUUAGUGAUCCGGUGGUAUAAAGUGGGAUUGCCAUCGCUCAACGGAUAAAAGCUACCCUGGGGAUAACAGGCUUAUCACUCCCAAGAGUUCACAUCGACGGAGUGGUUUGGCACCUCGAUGUCGGCUCAUCGCAUCCUGGAGCUGUAGCAGGUUCCAAGGGUUGGGCUGUUCGCCCAUUAAAGCGGUACGCGAGCUGGGUUCAGAACGUCGUGAGACAGUUCGGUCCCUAUCCGGCGUGGGCGUAGGAUAUUUGAGAGGAGCUGUCCUUAGUACGAGAGGACCGGGAUGGACGGACCGCUGGUGUAUCUGUUGUUGUACCAACAGCAUGGCAGAGUAGCCAAGUCCGGCAGGGAUAAACGCUGAAGGCAUCUAAGCGUGAAGCCCCCCUCAAGAUAAGAUAUCCCAUCAUAAGAGUAAGACCCCUUGAAGACUACAAGGUUGAUAGGCUUGGAGUGUAAUCGUGGCAACACGUUCAGCUGACAAGUACUAAUAGGUCGAGGGCUUAUCCUU
rnacentral:rRNA from 1 species